CCUCAGGAAAAUUUCUACUGCUGGCUUGUAGAUCUUACCUUGUAUCAUACGCUCAUACAACACUGUGGUUGCUAAGAUGCCUCGUAUCUAAUUCAGAGAUGGAUCAUAGCUGCUAGAUGUUUUAACUAGCACCUUCAUUCAUUCGCAAUGGAUAAUGUGCGCAUGCGCCAUCUUAUAUCUUCUAUCUUAAUUAAGUAAAUGAGAAAAUAUCAUCCCAUUCUUGCAAACUUAUUCAUUCUCUUCCUCCAUUUCACAAUCUUUUAGCCUCAUAUCUUUCCUACUUAUGCUUUGCAUAUGUUUUGUAUAGGCGUCUAGAUUUAUUAGCACGUAUAUGAAUUUAAGCAAGUCCAAAAAGUCUUAUAACGUGGAACGGAGAAAAUAUAUAGUAAUAAUGUAUAUGAUUCCAAAGAAUCU
rnacentral:lncRNA from 1 species